CCUACGGGAGGCAGCAGUGGGGAAUAUUGCGCAAUGGGCGAAAGCCUGACGCAGCGACGCCGCGUGAGGGAUGAAGGUCUUCGGAUCGUAAACCUCUGUCAGCAGGGAAGAACGGUCACUGUGCUAAUCAGCAGUGAAUUGACGGUACCUGCAAAGGAAGCACCGGCUAACUCCGUGCCAGCAGCCGCGGUAAUACGGAGGGUGCGAGCGUUAAUCGGAAUUACUGGGCGUAAAGCGCUCGUAGGCGGUAUGUUAAGUCAAGGGUGAAAUCCCCGCGCUCAACGUGGGAACUGCCUUUGAAACUGGCAAACUGGGGUGUGUGAGAGGAUAGUGGAAUUCCAGGUGUAGGAGUGAAAUCCGUAGAUAUCUGGAGGAACAUCAGUGGUGAAGGCGACUAUCUGGCACAUAACUGACGCUGAGGAGCGAAAGCGUGGGUAGCAAACAGGAUUAGAUACCCUGGUAGUC
rnacentral:rRNA from 1 species